GGUUUUAGAGAAAUGGUUUGAAAGUCUGGAAAUGGAUAGAAGAUGAAAAGUAUAGGAAUGGAUUGAAAAGUUUGAAAUGGAUUGAUUUGAGAAACUACUCGACGUUGGAUCAAGUUUUUUAUUUUUGUUAUUUUUGAAAAGGGGUUGAUUUUAUUCUUGUGUUAUAGACUAACUAAACAAAGUAAUUAGAAAAAAGAAUAAGGCGAUAAAAUUAUUACAUGUCAUGGGAGGGGGGGUACAUUUGGUUGAAUGGGGAUAUGAGAUGAUACAAUGAUUAAAUCGAAACCAAAU
rnacentral:lncRNA from 1 species